rnacentral:rRNA from 1 species
GAAGUUGGAUUCGCUAGUAAUCGCGCAUCAGCCAUGGCGCGGUGAAUACGUUCCCGGGCCUUGUACACACCGCCCGUCAAGCCAUGGGAGUUGGAAAUGCCCGAAGUCAGUGACCCAACCGAAAGGAGGGAGCUGCCGAAGGCAGGUUCGAUAACUGGGGUGAAGUCGUAACAAGGUACC